AAAUCUUAUUAGGUUAAGUUUGUAACGUGACUGAUGCAGGGAAGUGGAGGUCAGCGCAUGGACUCCAAAUAUUUCAUCGAACCAUUACCAAGUGAAUCACAAAAUUAGUUUACAACUCUACAAUGUAAAGAAGAAACAGAAGGUAUAGGCAUGAUCUGAAAAAACUGUCCUAAACAAAAUUUGGCGCUCUUUUUGGAGUUCAUGGACAACCUGAUUUAGGAAAUUAGCGUGUAUGUAUCCAUGUUUACUCUGAUUUAGUGUUGUCUUUUAUCUAUUUUCAGUUAAAUAUAGUCUUGAAAUUAAUACAAACCAUCAAAUUCUGAUUUAUUAGUAUUUUUGUUGUAAAAAAAUGAUUAAAACUCUAAAUUUAAAUCAUUAAAUUGAGACAAAAAUGUAGAUAACGAACAACUGAACAGACCACUUGUAAAAUAUCAACAUUAAAGCAGUUUUAAUACCAUUUUCCAGCCGAUAAAUGCUCCUGAAUGCCUCCCAGUUAUCCCACAGUCAUCCCAGUCUGACUACCAGACUGCGAACCCCCACCACGGCUCAUUACACAUGCGCAGAAGCAAACGCUGCGUAAAUAUUUAUGUAUAGGUUAACUCUCAUUGGUUAAGUACAUACGAGCCCCCGCGAGCCCAUCCUAUGGUGGCUCCGCCCACCGCUCGCCACUCACGUGGACCCUCAUGCUGGCGGUGAGGGCACGGGGACGGGAGCGCGCGUCAAUAUAUGGUUGACGACAUGAGAAGAAAGAGGAGCUGAUAACGGUAAUAAGUGCGGAAUUAAGUGCAUUUAACGACGUUUAGUGGCUUAAAAACGCACGUAAAUUAAAUUAUAAAGACCUUUAGCUGUAAUGUCACAAUUAUAGACGGUACAGCUCGUGUUUUAUCUUACAUAAGUCGGUUGAAAUAGGUAAAAUUAGCUAUAUUUUUCACUUUUUCACAAUGCUACAGCUUGCACAGGGAUUCACAAGGUCACAAUUACCCUGCAAGUACAGCAGCUGUGUGUCUGUUGGAUGUUUUUAGUAAUGUUGCAGCUUUAUACACCGUGUUCCAAAUUAUUAUGCAAAUGAUAUUAUUCUCAGAUUUUCUAAACAGUCAACGCAAACGACAGUCAGCAUAAUUUUCAAGUCAUUAACCAUUAGAGUUUAAUUUAAAUGUUAUUGAACAAACCUCCCAAUGAAAAACAAAAAACUUAAAAUGAACUGUUCCAAAUUAUAAUGCACAACUGAGAACUGAAAAUGGUCAUUCGGAGGUCAUAUUGACUGAAAUCAAAAGCUAUUUUAAUCAAAAACAUCUUAACAAGUCAAGUUACAUUUUAACAUAGGACCCCUUAUUUGAUAGCAGCUUCAAAUGUCUUGCAUCCAUCCAACUUGUGAGUUUUUGGAGAGUUUCUGCUUGGAUUUGUUUGCAGGAUGUCAGAAUAGCCUGUUGGUUACAUGUGCGUUCUUGCUGAUGUUAAGCACUGCACGCAACAUCCUGGUGUAGCACCCAUCUAGGGAUUUCUCCAGGGUUGGCUUCAGGGUCCAGCAUUCACUGCCACAGAGGAGAACGGACUCUACUGUCGCGUAGAGUUUGAUUUGGCGGGGGAGGUUGGAGUUCUCCAUGCGAGUGCCUUCCUCACUUUUAGAUCUUGUUCAGUUGAGUCGACCCAUGAGCCCAGGCCAACCAGCUCUCUCCCCAUGAUUCCGUCCCAAAACAUGACUCCACCACCUCCUUGCUGACGUCGCAGCCUUGUUGGGACAUGGUGGCCAUCCACUACUCCCUCCAUCUGGACCGUCUAGGGUUGCACGGCACUCAUCAGUGAACAAAACUGUUUGAAAGUUAGUCUUCAUGUGUUUCUGGGCUCACUUGUGAGCAUUGGUUAGGGGUGGCUGAAUAGAAGGUUUGUGCGCAACUGCAAGCCUCUGGAGGAUCCUACACCUCAAGUUCCGUGGGACUCCUGGGGCACCAGCAGCUUCAAAUAUCUAUUUGCUGCUUUGUAAUGACAUUUUAGCAGCUGUUCUCUGAAUCAGCCACAAAUCUCUUAACAGUAUGAAGAUCACACUUAUGUUUCGUGAAAUAUCAGAGGUUUUCAUACCUUGUUCAAGGCAUUCAACUAUUUCACGCAUUUCUUUCCCAUAUUGCUUGAAAACGUUGGUCUGCUUAAUAUUGUGGAACGCCCUUCUUGUUUUUCCCUUAACUGAGCUCACCUGGCAAACUAAUUAUCACAGGUGAAUGAGAUUGAUUUCAGUGAUUCAAAGAGCCCUGAGACACAAUACCAUCCAUGAGUUUAUUGACACUUAAAUACAAUUUGCGUAAUAAUUUGGAACGCAAUCUACAUUUCCUCCAGAAGCUUCAUUAUGAGUUUUCAGAUGAAAACAAACCUCACAAAGAGGUAGAAAUGUCGUAACUUUGCUCUAGUCCAUGCAGGGUCAUCUCUUUUACUCAGCUGUUAUAUUUAAAUUGUGACCUCAGACGGAUAAAGUGCUUAAGUUUGGCGACACAAUCUCAUUAGUGAUGUUCUGUGAUCUAAUGUACAUCUAUAUCAGGCAUCGACCUGUCCUGUCCCGGCCUGACCCUGCCCACUUGGCUGUCCUUCCUCAGGUCAGUCUAAUCCAACAUCCUGACCUCAGUACGGCCGUCCAGUCAUCUCCACGGAUCAGACGCUGCAGCUCCUGGAUCCAGAUGGCACUUUCGUAAAUCCCAUUUCAUUGACAAAAGGUGUUUUCCUCACCGCUGCGGGAACAGGAUGUUCUCUGAGGCUGAGGGAUCACACGCGGAUUAACCUCGGCUAUUUGUGCUGCUGCCCGUGUUUGGACGUACAAACAUAGCAGGUAAUUAUUCGCAUUAUGUGCUGCAAUCCUUUAAAUACUUCCUAAAGUACUUUUUAAAAAUCUAUCUGCACAACUUUAAUAAAUAAAUAGUUAAGUUGUUGUUUUGCACCCAAAAUGUAGCUGAAAAUGCACAGAUGAAUAAUCUUGAUUCUGGCCUGCUGUUUCCAGACACACAAAGUCCACUCUGCCCCAAAAUCGACCCCAAAAAAUCCUCUUUACGCCACCUUUUUUUGGGCCACCCUCUGAGCUCUUCCUUAUUGCUGAGAAAGCAGGUGGCCUGCUGGUUAAACCCCGAGCAUCCAGACUGUCAGGGAGGCCACACUCUGCGGGGAUUAAACCAUGUCCGAACAGGGUGUAAGAGACACACUUCAUGUUUGUACACAUUCAGAAAGAAAAAGCAGAAUCAAACAUACGGCAGAACUAAAAACAGAUUAGAGAUUAGGGGAAAUGCAUUUGAGUCUGCGCUUAGACGUUCAUUUGAGGCUGGCUUGAGACAGAAACGAAUACUUUUACCACAAUGUCAACAGGCGGAAGUGAAAUAUGUCUCCUGUCACAUGUGUACCCACACAAACGAACCUGCUCUGAUGUGCAGUUAAUUGGAUGAAGGGUCUAUACGGAGAUCGUCUAUAUGUGAGAGGCGGUGUGAACUGCAUCUCCAUAUAAAUAGAGCCCAGUGAACGCAAGAGCUCCUUCACAUGCUCCGAGCUAAGACAUAUAAAUAAGGUUUAUUUACAUCGCAGAAACACACACACAACAUGUCAUCGCACGCCGAAUAAGAUACAGCACACAGGCUAGAAAAAAACUCUGCGUGCAUGUGAUGUUUACGAGGAGAGAGGACAUAGAGACAGCAAACAGAGUCUGUGGAGAGAGGUUGGAAAUAAGAGACAAGACAGGAAGCUCGCUCAGGCUAGGACUCAUCCUGACUGGAUUAGGUUGUACGCUCUACCUCCCCUCUACCCUCCCCUCUCAGACCUUAUCUUUUCCAGCAACAUCUUAAACCUGGCGAAACACUUGGAUUCCCUGCAAAACCUCAGAAUAUAUAUCCACUUUCCCCCUUGAAAACAAAGCAUGCAGACCUUUCUUUACUCUCUUUGUGUCUGCAACAUGAUUUAUUUAUUAAAUCCAGGCAGGAAAACGUCCUCAAAAAUCUCAAACUCUGACGUCUGAGAGGUUGCUCUGAGUUUUUACUGCAUACAUCUACACUCUUCGUUUCUCUCCGUCUCUGCGUUCUUGUCCUCGCUUGUCCUCGGCCCAAAGUCACAUUUCUCUAAGGCACGUGCCCCCGCCUCAGGGUGAGAGACGUCUGAUAUUUCAAAACAAACUGCAACUACAGAAGCACGUACAGAGGGAGACACGAAGCAGACGCCCCACUGGGGAGAGAAGGGGAUUAUGGGGGAUUACACCCCCCCUCUCUCUUGUCCUCCACUUUUCCUCCCAUCAGCACCUUCUCUCACUUUUGAAGAGAUGUCAAAAGAGGCGAAGUUUUGACACUUAAAUCUGACCCCUUGUUUAAAAAGUGAAGUGAUCUCGUUCUCAGAGGGGGAUCAUUGCUUUAUCUCACACAGGAUUUUGACACAGAAAUAACCGCGUACCUCAUCGGUAAUGACUCUCUUCACUCAGCUGUGCGUCUGAAGAAUUCCUGUGUCACGUCAAUCUGGUCCGACCGGUCCGUGAAUGCCUGAGUCAUUAUUUUUGCGGCAGUGUCAAUGUUAAAAGAGCAGUUUCUGUUUGUGUUUGGUAUCUGAUUGAGGAUUAACAAAGCAAAGGCAGAUAAGAAGCAGCUGCGUCUUUGUUAAACUCACUUUAAUAAGAGCAAACUUUAAUAUAAUAUCAUGAGUGCGACUGUAAAUGAAACUUAAAUUCUCCUUAAGUGCUCUUCUCUCUAAUCCUUUAUUUGUUUUGGCUGACAAAUGCUGAAUUUGUGUCUGUCUGUGUCUGUGUGUGUCCUUUAAAUGCAGCCAGACAGUCAUUACACCAUUGUUGAACUCACACAGCAGGAGAGACAACAACAGCGCCACGUCUACGUAAAGAGCUUUCCUCCUAAUCAGGUUGUUUAUGGCACAGACCGUUCCAGUUUAUUAAAGGGACGCUUGAAGGACUUUUAAGUGUCUCACUGUGAAGUGCAAAUGAAUGUCAUGUGUUCGCAGAGAGAGAGAGAGACACAAAAUUUAAUAUUCUGCAGAGACAUAAUAAAAGACACAACGCCUCGUUUACAUCACUGCUGUGUCUCUGACCUACAUCGCACUAUGUCAUCAAAUGCGCCGCAAAACCAAACCCCGAGUCUGUUUUCAGUCUGUGAAAGACAUCAAAGUCUGGUGUCAUGACCAGCAGGUCCAUUUAGUGACAUUUACAGCGCUUUGUUUUUGGACAUGUUAUUGUGAUUUGCCAACAAAGGGAAGUGACGUGACAUGAAGACGAUGAGACAAAAACACAACAAUCCUCUAGUGUGAGCUGUGAAUGUGAGCUUGUUUGGCUAACCAGCGUUGCCCACUUAUCUGUAAUGUAAGUUGCAUGUGGCUGUCCUAGAGGUCGCUAGAUGAUGUCAUAGCCUAGUUUGUCUAGUUGCACAUUUGCACGUAAUAGUGAUUUACCUUCGACAUGUAAAAUUUGACAUCACUGCAGGUUAUGAUGCACAUUUCGGAUUUUUUGUUAAAUCCGAUCUUUUUGUGCGGUCGUCGACAUUACAACAACGAAUGCGGCAUCUCAUGUGGUAGGGGAAAAGUCCCGCCUCCUUCGCCUUUGAUUGGCUAGAAAAGCUAGAAACGUCAUCACAUGCUCAAGCCAAACAAGGGCUGUCGGCUCUGUACAUCGAACAGAACAUUAUCACACUUCUGAAUUUCCUAACCCUAACCAGACAGACGAUGACAUUUCACAGCCAUAAGGAAUAACCAAUCGGAGCCCAGCACUUCUAGCCAAUCAGAGGCGAAGGAGGGUGUGACCUUCACCUACCAUUCUACAAACAAAAAAAAAAUUUGCGUCCAGGGCAGCACCUGCUGCUCGUUGAGAAAAGAAAGAUCGAUACGUGCUUUCACAUCAGUCUCCAAACUCCAGGAAAAGGGGCUAGAUUUGUAGCGUUUUAAAAAAAAAAGUUGCGAGGGGCCCUGAAAAGUCGCUAAGUUGUGGCUAACUAGCUUAAUAAGGUAGUAAACAUGGAUGUUGUCUCAGUGACGUCACCCGUUGGUUCCCAAAGUGGUGUUACCAAGUCCAAAGAUGGAGGUCGACAACUCUUCUUGGACACCUUGGUGCAGCUUUGCUUGACCAGAUCCUGUACUGUACAAGGUCAAGAGUGUAUGCAAUAGUCAGGUUACACAUCAGGCUGCUGGAUUAUACGGCAAGCGAGUUCAGGCGGCCUGAUGCGCUUGUUUACUGUAUUAUUAUGAAUUUGAAUAUUACCCUUUUCUUCAGAGCAAGGAGUGUUAAUUUUGUUCCUGUACGUGUAAACAAAAAGGGAGUUUUCUUCUGAUGCCUAACUCUUAAAAGAAGUUGCAAGGAAAUAGUCAAUGUCUAUAUUAUCGGUCUUGUUUGCUUUUGGGCCGUGCCAUCAAUUUACAGUCUGUUUUAUAGCCAGUCAAAAAUCCCUCACAGGAGCUUUAGACUUCUCCUGAUCAGCUAGUUACAGCAGCAGAAAGUUUUGCAAAGAAGUGAAGAAAAGCCUCAAAGUCAAUCAAAAUCCCAUCUCAAGCCUCAGUUAUAAAUGUAAACUCCCAGGAUUCAGCGCGGAGAUAAUUGUAGCGUCAGAAGUGCACGUCGACUGCCUCACAAAGCGAAGAGGAGACAGCCUGUCCUCAGACAAUGUGCUGAUCUCAACAAUCAGAGGCACUGUGACAAUGC
rnacentral:lncRNA from 1 species